rnacentral:tRNA from 1 species
UUCGGGAUGGCUCAGCGGCAGAGCGCGCCUUUAGAACGAUCCCCGCAUCGAUUUCUCCAUUCGUGGCAGUGAGGCGCGGGGUUACUUCAGAGGAUGGCGAGGCGCAGGUUCGACUCCUGCUCCCGAAC